rnacentral:rRNA from 1 species
AUUGAACGCUGGCGGCAUGCCUUACACAUGCAAGUCGAACGGUAACGCGGGGCAACCUGGCGACGAGUGGCGAACGGGUGAGUAAUGCAUCGGAACGUGCCUGGUAGUGGGGGGUAACUGCUCGAAAGAGCAGCUAAUACCGCAUACGACCUGAGGGUGAAAGGGGGGGAUCGCAAGACCUCUCGCUAUCAGAGCGGCCGAUGUCGGAUUAGCUAGUUGGUGGGGUAAAGGCCCACCAAGGCGACGAUCCGUAGCUGGUCUGAGAGGACGACCUGCCACACUGGGACUGAGACACGGCCCAGACUCCUACGGGAGGCAGCAGUGGGGAAUUUUGGACAAUGGACGCAAGUCUGAUCCAGCCAUGCCGCGUGCGGGAAGAAGGCCUUCGGGUUGUAAACCGCUUUUGUCAGGGAAGAAAUCUUCUGGACUAAUACUCUGGGAGGAUGACGGUACCUGAAGAAUAAGCACCGGCUAACUACGUGCCAGCAGCCGCAGUAAGAC